UGCCGCAGGCUGCAGGUGUUGCCGAAUGGAGGAAACGGUUACAGUUACAGCAUGUUAAACAUUCUCGCUACGACAUUCAUUGUCCUCCGAUUGAUUGAUUGGCUGUAUUAUUGGGACGUACGUAGCAGAGCAUCAUCAGCGGUGACAAAACGGCUGUGUGGUCUCGCGCGGGAGAUUAGAGCAUGCAUAACAACCGGUUGGUGACCCCUGUGUCGGAUCGGAUGGACGGCAUUGUCAGUAGCGGAUGGGGAGUCGGCGUCGUGUUCGUAACUGCCAUGCAGACUGCAGCGAGGCAGGUCGUUUUCUCGUCGCUCAAGAGGUGGGAGGGGGAAGAACAGCACCGACACAACCCGUGUUCCCUUUGUCCCUGGCGUCACCAACUGACGACUGACGAUAGGGGAUCAGAAAUUCAGAAUCGUGGUACAGUAAUGGUACAGUCAUCAUGUUAAUUGGCAGGCAAUGCCGUGCAGUAAUCCGAUGAGUACGCGCUAAUCACGUCAAGCAUCGCCGACGUGUCUGAGAUUUCUUUCUGACAUUAUCGCCCAUGCUAAUAAUGGCUUGGUUGGUUUGGGAAGCAUGAUUCUAGCUAUGGACUGUUCGUUUCAGUAGUAAUCCAAGUACUAGGUGCUAAGAUUAUGCAGCAUCCCCAAUAGUGCGAUUGGUGUCCCAACUUUGCAUCUAGUGCGGUUAAGCUGUAUGCGUCCUAAAGUCUCUAACAACUCUACUAUCUGCAUGGCGUUUCUGUUUGUUUUCGCAUUCAAGAGCCCAUUUACAGGUCCCUCGCUCGCUGAAACGCCCCUUUCUACUUUUUUCCGAAGGGACUGUCGUCCAUCGGCACCUGAUCUUUCCCCUAAAGAAUCUAAUAAUAGGGUCUUAAGUUUGAGGAAUGCGUUGUCUCCUUACUCAUUCUUUUGGUUUGUGAAAAAAAGAACAGGUUAAUCCAUCGUCACCUAAUUCACUGCAAGCUAGCUAGCUAAUAAAUUAUACUAGUACGAUAUUAGAGUCAUUCCACCAAAUUUUUAAAACGAACUCACCAUACACCAUAAUCCCCCAAACCAAACAUGAAACACCUUACAACGGUCUAAAGUCAUAGUCUUCUUCUAGCCAGAUGCAUCUACUCAUCCCGAUGGGCGUCAAGCUGCCUCACCAUCCUGCCCUCUUCACAGCAAAGAGAGGCAUAGCAGACUAAUCGAACCGUGGUGGCAACACUCUUCUAUUGCUGCCUGUGGUUUUAACUGGUGAAACCAUUGCUCCUCUACAUAAGUAUUUGAAAACCUGUAAGACAACUGUCUGUUGUGACUAGUGGCGGAGGUAGAAAUAUUUUUUAGGUGUGGCGGGUUUAUAAAGAUCAAACAUGUAUAAGUAGGGAUGAAAACGGAUCGGAUACGGACGGAUAUCACCGAUAUCAUAUUUGUUUUUAUAUUUCUGGUCGGAUUCGGAUUCGAAUACAGAUAAUAUCAAUCAUGUCGGAUAAGAUAUAAUUGGAUGUCGACAUCAUAAAUAUACGAUUUAAGUAUUCGGAUACGGAUACGGUAUCGGAUAUUGAAUAUUCGGACUCGGAUACAGAUCUGAACCUCUCUAAACGAAUUCGGUCUCGAAUACGGUCGGAAAAUAUCCGUACCGUUUUCAUCCUUAUGUAUAAGGUCGCACUCGAACAAUAUCUAAAUAUGCAUAUAUGUAUUGACGUAUGAAACUAUCAAGUAUGUACUUUUAUCUAAAUAUUUAAUGCUAUAUACAAUAUAAUAUACAUGUAUUCCAUAUUUUAUACAUGUUUUAGGUAUGGCGGGGGCCAAGCCUUGCCAAAUGCUCUGUGACAUGGAGGCUAGGUGAAGACGUGGAGGACGGGGCAGCAUGCAUGCUAUAGUGUUGGUACAUGCAGUGUUGGUGAAGCCCUAAGCCGUUGGACUCCUCAGGGAACCCGUUCGUUCCUAAAUCCCAUCCCCAACGCUACAAUCCUAAACCUUAAUAUUGUCAGGGAUGAUCAUGGUGUUUUUCCUUUCCUAAAUCCCAUCCUCGUUCUAGCAUCUCUAAGAUUACCCUAUUCUCUUUCUUAAUCUUUAGUUUUUGGAAAAAUAAAAAAAUCACUCUCCAACAACUCCUAAUCCUUUUACGCACUUGGGAAAUUCUCUCCCGUCGUGCGUAACUUUGCGCGGAGUCGCGAUUGCGUGAAUACACACAUAUUCUUCGACCAAUUAGUGGUGGAAGGGCAGAAAAAGAAUAAAAAGUAUGAAAGGAUUCCAGAUGCAAAUGUAGAAGAGAUAAAGAAUAUAUAAAAUUGGUUACAAUCAUCUAGAAGUAAUAUAAGAUUCCUAAUGUAAAAUUGUCUUCUAACUUAAUUAUUGGAAAUUAUUUAAGAUGGCCUUAUUUUUUUCUUCCAAUAUAUUUUUAGGAUUUAUAAAACAUUGACUUUUUGGGAGGAAAAAAAUUAGAAUAUUCUUGGAGAUACUAGAAGAAGAAUACCAAGGAGAAGAAAUGUCCAGCAUCAGAGACGGACAGACGGAGUUGGACUCUAUAGGUGGAUGAGUCCAUUUGUGCAAACUGGCAACCAUGCUUGCCCGGGCCAGCUAAAUUAGCUCUAAAGACUCGAGAUUUGGCCCAUCUACUAAACGUCUAACCCACUGAGCCACUGAGCCAAGCACUGGACCUUAAUAUUGUGGCCCAAGCACUGGCCCUUUAUUAGCCUUUUUUCAGCCCAAUAGCAACUAAAGGCUCCCACAGCCACAAUACCUGCAGGCUGCAGUCCAGACUCCAGAGGUCCAGUGCUGUGCCGGAGCCAUUCAGAAUUUCAGAUGCGUCACGUCAUAUAUCUUUUUGAAGAAUCGUCACGCCAUAUAUCUAGCCAUCAUGAUCUAAUUUUUCCAUCAACUAUAGGUUAUUAGCCUUUUUGUUAGCCCAAUUGCAACUAAAGGCUCACACAAUACCUGCAGGCUGCACAGUCCAGAGGUCUGCCGGAGCCAUUCAGAGUUUCAGACUAGUAUAUCUUAGCUAUCAUGAAAAAUUCUCUCUCUCUCUCUCUCAAAAAAAAAAAACUAGCCAUCAUGAUCUAAUUUUUCCAUCUACUAAACUGGAGAUCGCUUUCGAUCGUUUUCGACCCCCACGCUAGCGAUCGUGAACAUUGGCCCUGAGAGCGAAACUCCAGCAGAUCGAACGUCGACGAAGUGCUGUUUUUUUGUCCAGAAAACAGCUCGUAAUUCUUCAUGCAUGAGGUUAAACUUUGCAGUUCCUGGGCAAUUUGGCUUUGCAACCAAAGUGCAAAGCUAUAAAGAGCCACUUUUCUUUUAUGGAUUGGCAGGAAAAGGAAGACAUGGGUCGGUCUUUCCAACCAAAAAGAUUCUCACUUUUGAUUCCGCCCUCAUCAAAAGCUACAGAUUAGGACUCGUACCAUAUGGAGGAUAAAGACCAUGAACACCCAAAGCAUUGCGCUUUACCGAGAUAAAGUAAAGGCGAGAAUCUUGUUUUGGAUAGUUUUUUGCGCUUUUUUUUCUGUGAACUUUUAUGUCUCGCAAACGCAAAGUGACCAUGGGAAAAGCUUAGGAAGGUGCAGCUAGUGCUUUGCUCAGAUUCUUAGUAACCAAGUCAUGCCUGCCAUAUGCCUCUUAUUAGGUCCUAUAUAUAGGUUGACUCCUGUUGACUCCUGGAGCUUUUACUUCUUAAUUACCGUUCUGCUAGCUAAUGCAUAUAUAUUGAACUGUCUGCAGAUUGCAAGAGAAAUGUUUGAUGAAGCUCGUCGGAAAAUUUUAUCUGCUCAUGUAAACAAACCUUUGCUCAGUCAGUUCUUACAUUUCUUUGGAAAGUUUUUCCGUAAAACCUGCACGAUUCUACAACGGAUCGUAUAGCUAGCUAGAGGGCAGCUCAUUAUGCGAUGCAGUUCUUAAACAUGGCUUUGCAGACAACCAACAAAGACACGGCAUAUGUGUUGUGAGUACGUACGUACUGAAACGUCGACCGGUACCGCAGCCAAAAGCCCAAAAGGCACCACAAAUCAUGGUGUCCACCGCGCACGCACCCAAGCACUGAGCCACUGGCUCUCACGUAUAUAUUUGCUAUAUAUAUACAAGAGCCAGGUCUACUGGAUGCCUGAUAGUACGAGAUAUAGCUUCUUCAGAAACCAUCGAAAACCAGCCACCACACGCCUCGCGCAACAUGCUGCCUCACGUCGAGAUGCCGGCCAGGGCGGCGGCCGCGUGCACCGGCGCGGCGGGCAUCAAGCUGUUCGGCAAGGUCAUCACCACGCAGCCGCCGCAGCAGCCCAUGCAGCACGCGCCGCCGAGGCUGCAGCAGCAGCAGGCGUCGUCGGGGCGCGGGAACAACGCCGACCUGCUGGAGGAGGUGGCGCGGGCGCGCGCGGCGGCGGCCGAGGUGCGGCUGCCGUGCCCACGCUGCUUGAGCCGGGACACCAAGUUCUGCUACUUCAACAACUACAACGUCAACCAGCCGCGCCACUUCUGCCGGGCCUGCCACCGCUACUGGACGGCCGGCGGCGCGAUCCGCAACGUGCCGAUCGGCUCCGGCCGCCGCAAGAACCGCCCCGUGCUGCUCCCACCGCCGGCGCCGCAUCACGCUGCCACCGCCACCGCCAGCAGCGCCGACGAUAACGACCACCGCUCGGGCUCGGGGUCUCCUCCGGUGUUCACGUCUGUGUUCACCGCGCCCUACCUCGGCGGCUCCCCCUCCCAGUUCACCACAUCGCCGGCUUACGCCGCCGCCGCCGCCGCUGCCGCCGGCCACCCGGGGACGACGACGGGGCAGUGCUUGUGGCUGGUGGCGACCACAGAUCGUCCUGUUGCAUCGGACCGCGCUUUUCUGAUAUGAUGAUGUGAAAAAUAAAUAAAAAUGAUGUGAUUUUAAUUUGCUUGGUUACUCACGCUCCGAGCUUUUCACGGAUGGAACCGGCGGUUUCGGUGUGGUGGAUAGGGUAGGGUUUGACCUGGUAACAAUUUUGAGUGCAUGCUCGGGCUUUUUUUAGGUGUAGCUGUCAGCUGUGUAAUCCAAGUGUCUGUUCUAACCUUUUCUUUUGACUUUGCAUCAAACUUUUCUGAAGGUUGUUUAAGUCCUUUUUUGGGAACUUUUGUGGGCUUGGGAUGUAAUUUAACUUGACUAGAAACAUGUCUAUGCAUUUCAGUGGGAGUGAGGGGGUGCUGCUAUGGUUAUAUAGUAAUUGACUGGAAACAUCCCUAUGUUGUUAAAUUUUGAUGUUGUUAUGAAGAAUGAAGUGAGCCAGUGAUUGUCUGUCACACACUGACAAUGCAAACUCCAAUUGACGACAGGUCGCGCUCUAGCACGAGCAUGCGACCGUACCCACACAGCCUGUGCCUUCUUGUAUCCUGUCUCUUUUCUUCUCCAUCUCCACUGGGUUUAGAAAAGAGGGUCGUGGGAGGCAGGCAGGCCCGACGUUGGGGACCGGAGAGAUGGCAGUGAGGCAGAGGCGACAGUGACGCCACCGGAGCAGGCGGCUAGACAAGGUUGGAUCAAGGGUGACCAAGGCCAUGGCAAUGGAGGGGGAGGAGGUUGUUGUGAGCGUUGUAGGAUCUUGACAAAGCUCUGAGGCUGCGGGCACAAGGUGGAGCUCCGACGAGACCCUAUUAUGUUGCGACGGGGUGACGCUAGGACUAUGAGUUUGAGGUUUAGGAUUUAAAUACUAAGCUUGUUUCGUCAUGUGCCCAUAUAUGUGCCUCAUACUAAGUUGGACAGAGUAGCUCCUACCACAGUAAGAUCAUUUGCAAUAACCGGUCUUGUGAAAAUUAUAUAGUAUGAACAUAAGGUUAAAGAUGUAAAUACCAGCGGUUGAGCAACUCUAUUCAUUAGGUUCUUUGUGGCCGAACUAUCUACUCAGGUUUAAAGUCUUCAACUUGAUACGUGUGUUCUUAUUUUCUGGUUUAUUCCAAUAUUUAAUGAAGCUAUUUUCUUAGUGGUAGGCAAUGUGUUGAUAGCGAGGGUUCUAUAUGGUGAUUUUGUUAAUCUCGAGAUAUGUUGACUUAGUCUUCUAGAGGUGCUCAUAAUGGUAAGACAUGUGCAUGUGUAUUAGAAUUCAUAGGGGUGAGUGUGUGUUUAUGAGUGAUGCAUGUGUGUUAACUUGGUCAAUCUCUACUAUACCAAUCUUCUAGAGGUGCUCAUUUAAAAACCAAGAAAAAUGAUCCAACAUCCAAUUCCAAAUGACUAAUAUUCAAUCCAAUCUAGAAGCCUUGGGCUGGGCGUAGAGCUUUGCCAUCUGGGGCCCACUCCCGCAUGAGCCAAAAGAAUACGGCCAGAUUUGCUGUUUUUUUUAUAUAGGCCCACAAAUUUGCUGUGGCGGUCCGUAAGUUGUACAUUACGCAUGAUGGAGUUGGAUUGCAAAGCGCCAACCAAAGCCCAUUCAGUAUAAAAAAAAACAGAGCCCAUUCGAGCAAACCUCCUUGUGAGGCCGCCGCAACGGCCUAAACGUCUGCACUGCAACGUGACUGGAACCAGCCCCGUCAACCAGUGGCGAAGCCAGCGAAAUGAGAAAGGGGGGGCCAGUUUGGCCAGACAAGAUUCGAGAUUCUUUUUUACACGUACGUGUAGUUACUCUCAUCUUCAAUAAACUACAUUGUGUAUGUAUUUAUACUUAUUUAUCGGUUUGAGUAUGUUUAUAUACUCAUAUUAAGAUACUCUAGAUCUUACCACGCGAAAAUUUUUCAAAAAAAAAUUAUAUUUUAAAUACAUUACUAAAAUGCCACUACUAUAUUAUAUACGAUAAGUAUAACCAUAUACUCACGCAUGCAUACUUAACAUAUAUAUCACUCUAGAUGGUCUAAUAUGAUCAUAUACUUUAUCUAUAUACAUUUCGUCCAGUCAUAUACACCUUAAAUCUAGAGAUAUAUAGUGAGAGUAACUACACGCGCGCGUGUGUGUAUAUAUUAUAUAUAUAUAUAUAUAUAUAAUAGAAACCAUGACAUCUAAAAUUUCUUUUUGAAUUUGUGGUGAAGUAUAUUUGGCAUUCUGUGGAGCAUUAUCUAGCACAACUGCAUUGACCUCUUCGUUAUAUGAAGCGAGAAGUUUCACCAUUUCACGAAAAUUGUCUUGGUUUUUGAAGUAGCUGAUUCAUCAUGUCCUCAAAAAGGACAAGCUUGAAAUGCUAAGUGUCGAACUGCAUCAAUAGAUGUCCCAAGACGCAACCGAUUCUUCUAGAUUUCUUCCUUUGUUUGUUUCUCCACCACAUGCUCAAUAUGGCCUGCUGUAUUCUUCAGAUUAUCAUAACAAUUCAUAUUAUAAUUAUGAGCAGAUUUACUAUCAUUUUCCAUGUGAACCAAGAAUGAACAAUUUGUUGAAAUAUAAGGCAUUUUCAUAUUUAUUUUAAUCCAUAAAAAUGACGCAAUAAAAGGGAUAAUUACGACAUGAAUUAUUUGAGAAAAACAAUUCAUGACAAAUAUUAAAAGGAUGACUAUCAAUUUGCAGAAGCAAAUUAAGAAGACAGAACAUACAACUAAUAUCAUUUUAUUUAUGUGAAUCAUCAUAGUUGUGCUCAAGGUAUCCUCAAUAACCGAAACAAAGAUGAGUACAGAAAUAUAUGGUACCAGUAAAAGAUUAUUCACAUGAUCAUCCAAGCAAAACAUGUAGGAUAAUAGCAAAAUGCUACCCAGGAACAUCAUGAUAUUAACAGUGAAAUUAAUAAUAGGAUGAAGGAGAUUAUACCCUGCGGCAGAACCGUUCGCACCGGGAAAAGUCAUGGUGGUGCUUUGUCGUUGUAGUCGUCCCGCUCGAUGCAGUGCAGAAAAGGUUGCCGUGUAGUCGCCGCAGAAUCACCAGCGAGUAGUCGUGUCGCCAACGACACUCCCCAAAAACGUAAUCGCCCGUCCUCACCCGAGCAGAUGAAGCGCACGACGGAGACGCGUUCCGGAGGCCUACUCUUCCAUCUCUGGUGCUCGCCGGAGAUGGAACGGAAAGGACUUGCGCAACAGGAUGUGGUUUUUCCUUCUAAAGAGAACCGAGAGAGUGCGGGUCCUUUUAUAGGCAAGCAGAAGGAGGAAGGCCAGACGCGGAACAGAAAGGUCGCGACUCUUUGCGGUGGAGGAGACAGAAACUGACAGUAACUCCUCUCAAUCAAGACCAUGAAGGCAGGAGUUACGGGAGUUACCAGAAACUCCUCUCAAUCAAAACCAUGAAGGCAGGAGUUACGGGAGUUACCAGAAACUCCUCUCAAUGAAAACCAUGAAGACAGGAGUUACGGGAGUUACUAGAAACUCCUCUCAAUCAUAAUCAUGAAGGUAGGAGUUACAAGAUUAAAGGCCUCGCCUGCCCGCCCGUCCGCUCAUUCGCUGCCUGCCUGUCUCGCCACGCCACGCCACGCCGUCUCUCGGUUAAAUUCCCAUACGGACCAUAGAGUUUAAUAGAUAUUAUUAAAUUAAUGGGCUAUGCCCAUAAUAUCCAACACAAUUAGCACCCUCAUUCACUUUUUUCCAUGUUCUAAAUCCUGCGUGGAUGAGUUACUGGACCGGAAGUAGGAUAUGUGUCCAUGUGAAAUUGAUAAGGGCCAUGCAUAAGGUAUACUUUACGAACUUAAUCUCUUUCAUUAGCAGGAUACUCCCAAAUUUGCUUACGUAAGCCCGGAUCUCGUUCAACUAUCAGAACACUGGCAUCAUCAAUUUCAGCAUUAACCGUUUGAACUUUUGGUGCUGGUUGUCUUGGUGCUUCUUCAGAAGUCCUCUGUUCAAGGGCUGGGAGCAUCGGCAGACCUCUGUUCUUCAGCAACAAUAGGAGAACUAUUUUGCCCCUGUCCAUGUCCAUUGCCAUCUCUAUCUGUCUUCUUGAAAAAAUAAUCAAUUGUCCUUUUAGGGGGCAUUAUUUCAUACCUAAAUUCUCAUAAGAAUACAAUGAUAAAGACUGAAUUAUAAGUUUGCACGAAUGACGGAUGAUUAUUGCAAAUUAGGCAGUUAGCAAUUGAAAAUAAUAGAAAUCGUACCAUAUAGUUUAUACUUACUUUGCGGCUGCUUGCCUGCUUGCACCUUGCACAGCACAGUUGCGCUUGCGCCUAUAGCUUGCUUACAAAGUCGCAGCGAUUCAGUGCUUGCUCAGGCUCGGUUGCUUGGUGCUCGGCGCUUGCUGUUGGCGGCCGCCGGCCAGACACGGUGACGAUGGCGAACACAGAGUUACAGAGAUCGCUUGUCUGCAGACUAUGAUCCGCUUCGCUUCUGAAUGAUUGAACGCUGAUUGGGAUUGCGCGCGGGGGACUGAAAGCGACACCGACACGAGUAGCGAGGCGCUGUCGUCGAUGUUAAUUUUGUCGCUGCGAGACGUCUACGGCCUUUCCGUAUUUUGUUAUUGGGCUGGGCCAUUAAAUCGUGGAGGAGUUCUAAAAUUUUUUGCCGCAUGGGCAGCGCGGCCUCGAAUGCUCCGAGCAGAACAGAUGCGGCAAUCUCAAUCGCUUUCCAUACCUUGUCCCAAAACCGUUGCCCGCUUUCUGCUCUAGGAAGAGGCACUGGUACUAGCUGCGGCAGCGGCGGCGGCGCCUGUGCAUCGGCUACACACGAAGCCAAAAACUAAGGCAGCAAGAACCAUGAAUCGAGCCAUGCUCACCUGCGAAUUUAGCUUUGUUCAGCCUUAUAGUUCAAUUUAUAGCCCACGAAUCCUCUCGUGACACUGCUUUUCAACCAGUGGCGGAGCCAGCGAAAUGAGAAGGGGGGGCAGUUUGGCCAGACAAGAUUCGAGGACUGGCAAAAUUUUGUCGCUGCGAGACGUCUACGGCCUUUUCGUAUUCUGUUAUUGGGCUGGGCCAUUGAAUCGCUGAGGAUGAGUUCUAAAUUUUUUUGCCGCAUGGGUGGCCACGGCCCCUGCUGGCACCCCCCAGCUCCGCCUCUGCCGUCAACGUCACCCAUGAAUACUUAGCUUGGAGAUGAGAUCACCUCACUAGGACGACGGAGGUGUAUUGCUUGGAUGAGGGACAAAUGGGAGCGUCCGUCGUCCGGCCGUGGCGCCGUGCAGCUCUUCUUCUCCCACGACGACGACAUGGGUUCUAACCUUAAUUUCCGCCACCGUACCCGUGAACGCCGGCGCCAGCCGCAAACUGCAUAAACUUAGAAGCUAAUAAACGUCCGUGCAGUCCAGGACGUGCUGGUAAUACCUCGCAUCAUCAUCAUCCAGGUGAGAUAUAUCACUCGGACACACAGUUUUGUGUGCCAGCAGAAGCUCAGAAGGAGAAAGGAAAUAUUAACAACCUAAUCUAAGCUCAAGCUGCAGCCAUAUUAUAAUAAUAAUCAGUUCCAAGUUUGCAAUCAGUAUCGAGGGCCGGCUAUAUAAUUUUGAGGGCCCUUAUACAAGCAAAAGGAUAAAGACCCAUCAAAUAUUUUUUUUAAUAUGUCAAAUAUAUAAAAUAUAUAGUACAACUAAAAAGAAUUAAUUUGCACCAUAUGUUUUAGUUUAUAAAAGGUAAUUAUAGUACAACAAAUAAAUAAGUAGAAUAGAAUUAGAAAUUUAGAACCUUAUCAUGGAAUACUAAUAACAAAAUUGGUAAAGUCUCGAUCAGUUAUGCCCUUAAUCUUCCUGCUCCAGUGUAUAUCGUGUGCGGACGUGUGGUGUUGUGUUAGCGUGUCAUGGAGUCACACUGUUGCAUUAGACGAUUGGGUAAUAGGACGAGAAGACGACAAAGAGGAACAUUGAUUUGCUCAACUAAUCGAUCAAGCGAGAAUAUGGAGCAACACUAGCAAUAGGUGGAUGUGGAUGACGUACUGAUUAAUGGAUUUCUUUUUUAGAUUAAUUGAUGGAUUUUUAUAGUGUCUAUAUAAGCCUCCAAAAAAUUAGAUAAAUCUAUAUACUAAGUAUUAUAUAUAUUAUAUAUAUAUUUAUAGGCCCCUUAGCGUCAUGGCCUCAGCCGUCGCACCGGCUGCCCACGCCCUAGAGACGGCCCUGUCAGUACCGCACCAGCAUUUAACAUGGAGAAUUACCAAGCAACGUCCGUCCUCGGCGUUGUCUCGGUUCAUUCAACGAUAUAAUUCCAGAAUUGAAGUUGGCGACGGUGUGUCGUCUCAACUCACCUCUCAAGAACCCGUGGGUGUGGCUCUCUUUGUUAUGAUGAUGCUAGGACACACGGCCAAUGGCAAGAAGAGCAGCAAGUUCGAGGACUCGGACAGUCGCAUGUCCAGGCCCAGGUAUUCGGCACCAUUAUAUUCUCGACCAAAUCUGCAUCCAUGCUCCGAUCGAUCCUAUUCCUAUCCAAGUUUUUCGUGGAUUGGUGAACUCGAUCGCAACAUCUAUGGUUCAGGGCCGUGUCAGAGCUGCCGCAGCGUCCAGCUCCAGCACAGCGUCUGAAGUCGUCGCCCUCGUCGUCGGGCACGGAGGCAAGCGGCGGCACGCGCACGCCGCGCCGCGCUCUCGGCGUGCGGGUGACGGCGGCGCCGCGCAGCCCGCUGCACGAGGCAAGGAUGUUCUUCUGAAGUUCUGAUCAGAUAUUCACAUGAACAGUACAAACACAAAACCGUACUUGCCGCCAAUGACUGACCUGGCGUUUGUUUUGUGUGCUGUUGGCUGUGGAUUUUUGUAGAAGAAGCCCGCCGCUGCUAGUGGUCGUGGUGCCGGCGCGGGGACACGGGUGGCGGAGCUGGAGGCGAAGCUGGAGAGGGCGCACGGCCAGCUCCAUGGGAUGCGGGAGCAGCUCGCGGUCACCGAGAAGGCCAGGAAGGACGCGCGCGCAGCGCUCGUGGAGGCCAAGAAGCGCUUGGCCGCAAAGAAGAAGGACGAUCUCGCCGCUUCGGCGCCGGUCGAGCACGAUGGCGGCAAGGAGCCAGCCGCCGCAGCCAAGGAUUCUGGUGUCGAUGAGCGUGACGACAACGAGGAGAAAAGCUACGUGGCGGCGGUAGUGCCGAGAGAUCACUCGGUGAACAACGAGGACCCGCCGGUGGUCGAGGAGGGCAACAAGACUAGUGAUGGGGAGGAGACGAGCAAUGUCGUUGACGAUGACGACGAUGGCAACAACAACAAGAAGGGCAGCCCGGAGGUUGAGACGCUGAGGGCGAAGCUGAUGGCGAAGGACAUGGAGGUGUACGAGCUCAGGGCGAAGCUGAUGGUGAUAGACACGGAGGUUGACGACCUGAGGUCCAAAGUGGUGGGCAAGAGCACGGAGAUCGACGAGCUGAAGGCGGCGCUGAUGGCGAGCGACGAGCUGGUCGACAAGCUGACGGCGAAUCUGCUGGUCAAAGACGCGGAGAUCGCGGCUCUCGAAGCCGACAACGCCGACCUCACCAAGAUGGCCGAAGAGGCCGCCGAGGCCGCGAAGUCGACGGCCGCGAUGGCGCGGGAGACCGAGCACGCGCUGAGGGAGAGCGCGGCGCGGGAGGCCCGGCUCGCCGAGCGGCUGCGGGUUUCGGAGCACGCCCGGGACGCGCUGGAGGCCAACGCGCAGCGCUUACGCGUGCAGAGCGAGCAGUGGCGCAAGGCCGCAGAGGAGGCCGCCGCGGUGCUAGCAGGUGGCAGCGGCGGCGCCGUGGACAAUGGCGGGUACGACAAACGGCGCCACUGGUCUGGCUCGGCCUGCGCUGGUGGUGGUGGGAGUGAAAGCAAUGCGGCGGCCAAGGACGACGACGAAGACGGAGCCAGUGGCAAGCGAAAGCCCGCGGGCGGCGCCAUGCGGGCGCUCAGCGACCUGUGGAAGAAGAAGGCGCAGAAGUGAUCUCGAAUUCAUUUUGCUCUUGUGUUCUGUUCUCUGCUAUUCCCCAAGGAUAACACCGUCGAGGUUAAUUUACUGGACUAUUUAUGUUGUCUUACUAAGGUAUAUUAAGAUUAAUUAGCCAAGAUGGUAUAUACCCAAAAUAAGCUCCGUGUUGUGUCUGUCGUGUCAUCGUGUGUUACGGGCUUACGGCUUACUGAUUGCCCAGUUCGACUUCUAAAUUAUGAGAAGAACAUUGCUGUGUGCCUGAGUGGUCCUGUACUUUUAAGUUCAAAACUCGUCAUAUAUGCUGGUCCUGUACACGAUGUUUGUUUGUUUCAGCAAAACGCAAGUCGGUUAGCUCUAGCCAACAGAUUAUUAUCUAUUUAUCUGAAGAAGCUAACCACUACGACAGAACCAUUGUCACAAAUGGUUCUAAACCCAUCGUCACAGAAUGUUUUUUUCCCGUCAUCGGUGAAGGUUGGUGUUGAUAAACAGAAACAAAAAAACCAAAAAGGGCGCAGGCCAAGCCCAUCAGCGAGCCUUGGAGCCCGUUGUUGAGCCCGGGUCCUUCUGUUUGACAGAAAAAUCACUUCAACAGAGAAGAGGCUACUGAAGUACACAAAAAUAAUAAACAAGAGGGAACACAUUUUAUACAUAUUUAAUAAAAAUGCAAAUAUAGGUCCCUUGCACAAAUGCGCUCCACAAGUAGCCUUACGAUGAUGAUCUAACUUGAACAAUGUGGCCUUUCGCUCCGAGGGCUUAUCCCUAUGAGUCAGGCUCACAGAGGAUCCCUACACGCAUAGGUUUAAGAGGUUGUACACAAUAUCUUGCUUGGUGUGUGCUUCUUUGUUUUUUUCUUGAGAUCAUUGGCAUGUUUUUCAUUAAGCAGAAGUAGAAAGUUUUGUUACAAAACCAAGUUACAAUAAUCAAAAGAUUCCCAAACCUAUAGCCCACACCUCUCACACUUCUCGCACGUGGUUGUGAUUACACAAGAAACUAGUUUGUGAGUAAGACAAGAACAUACCUUAGACCUCGUCCAUCCUGACCAUAUCCAAGUUCAUGACCAAUGGGUCAAAUUCCCCACCAAAAAGAAGCUGCAGCGCCUCUUAUAUGGAGACCGAUAAUGAUAUCUGGAAGGUUAAUUUGUACUUACACACCUGUUUUAGAGUCGACGUUAGGCGAGCUUGCUAUAACUCCCAGCUUCUGCAUGAGCAUGCACUGAGCCUGCUUGGUGGAGUUCGCCUCGCGUGGCUUCGCAGUGAGGCGUUCCCUGGGCCGCAGCGACUAAAUGGAGACUGGAGUCUUGGGCCUACGUAGCCUAGGCGGCCCGCGGACGAGGGACGUCUACAACGAAAGGCAAAGCCACACCUCCAACAUUCCAUGAAACGUAGGGGUACAGAAUCAAAAAUCUCGAACACUGGCCAACUCACAUCGUCAUUGCUCGAGGAGCCCCUGGCGUGCCUAGCAUCUCCAUUUCUCUAGGCGAAGUCAAGACUAGCUAGCCAUUGCUAGGAUCAUCGACCACAAUGGUAGCCACGUUUCCAUGGCAUGGCUCAACCAUAGUCACAUAAAACGGGUUUAUCACCUUUGAUCCUCGACCUAGGUUCGUCGACCCCGACCCGAAUUCAUGGGCUUAUUUUUGAUCUGAAGUGUAAAAAUCUCUCGCAAGUAUCGUACCACGUAUCACGAUCCCGUACCUCGACCCCAUCGACCCAGAAACUUUGUGACUAUGGGCUCAACAAGCAUAAUGAAAAGCUCAGCAAGACUCUUCACUUCUCUUGGUUCAACAAGCAUAAUCAAAAGCUCAGCAAGACUCUUCACUUCUCUAAAUUUUUAAUCUCCAUGCACAUCAGUAAUAAAGAGUUGAAGUUUACAAGAGAGGUGGUCUAACUCUCUUCUUGAGAAAUCAUUAGGAUAAUUAGAGCAAGCUUAACCAAAUUGGCUUUGUCGUAAGCAACAAAUGAGUCAGCAGGGACUGAAUUGUGCCAUGCAAAGAAGCAAAUCUAUGUAUACCUCAUUGAACCUGUCAUUAAGCUCUCAAAGUUGCCUACGAAUAAUACUUCAGAUUCCAAACAUGUCAACAUACGAGUGAUAAAUAUAUAUGAAUAUAUUAUGAUCGAUUUAUGUCUUCGAAGUUCGCUUUGUGCGGUUCCAUGUAAUAGAACUUAACUACAUCUCGUGCUGCCCUUUUAAGUGCACUAUGUUGAUGGAUCAGCAAGGAAGUUCUAACCACAAGGGUCGCAACACCUUGCAAAAAUGAUUGUGUAUACACAGAAAGCAUGCCGCUCAAUCAUUGGAAAUCGAAAUCACCUUAAUUAUUUAUUAUAAAUUAGCUUGUAAUAAGUAAUAGUAAUGUGUAAGAGUUUAAGCAUUUCUAACAGUUUUGCAUAUUGCUUUUGCAUUCUUGAUUUUUGUUAAAAUUCAUAGAAACACCUCUCCAACAGUUUUGCAUAUUGGUUUUGCAUUUUUGGAAACUUGGCAAAUUUCAGGGGAGGCUUGGCAUUUAUGCAAGUCCGUCCGCGACUUGGCAAACACCGAUCUGCCACGUCCCUCUACAUUGCCAUGGCGCACGCGGGCCUCGCCACCGCACUGCUCGUGCUCUACGUCCUCUACCUGCUGCUCGCCGACUUCCUCCACCCACUGCAGUAGGUGCUGCUUUGCUCCGUCCCGCUCCGCGAGACACAGCGCACGCUCGUCGCCUUCUGGGAGCCCCCGCUCGGCGGCGGCCUCAGCGCCGCACUACUCACACUGCCAGUCGCCGCGCUCCGGUCCUCGACCGCCACGCUCGCCGACGCGCGCGCUGCGCUCCUGCGCCGCCCACUCCCGAACUCGUCGACAUUCCCGUGCCUCCUCCGCUGGCUCGUCUCCUUCUUCUUCUUUCUCGUCCUCUUCGAGUGCCUCAACGCGAGUGGCGGCGGACUUCCUCAACGCGAGUGGCGGCCGACUUCCUGAACGCACGAAGAAAGCCCGCGAACGGACCGAGACCGCGCGUGAAAACUUUCGGCAGUUGAGUCCACAUUUUGGUAAAUGGCAAGUCAGAUUUGCAAAACUCUUGGAGAUAUCUUAUUUUUCUACUUUCCAUUUGCUUUCUGGAGUUGGCAAACUCCAACAAGUAAUAACAAAGAAAAAUUGCUAAACAGCUGGAGAUUCUCCCAAUAAAUUCCCACAGUAACCCAUCAAGGCCCUGGUGUCGAUGAGUGGCCCCAUGGGCAAAACCCUUACAAUAUAGGGGGUGAAGGGAUAGAUGGUGAUGGUUGGCACGGUGACAGUGUCGGCUCCAAACAUAUCACCUCUAGGCAGUGGUGGAACUUGACUGUGCGCGUGCAGCGAAGGGCGCGUUCUAGUAGUAGCUGGAUGCGCGUGUUCAAAGUGGUCGGUGAGCAUUCAUGUGUGAGACAAUAUGCAAACAUACUAUGUUUGAUGAAAUAAAACAAUAUAUUAAAUUAUGUAAAUAUAUAUAAUGUUACGAGAAAAUAACUUAAAUUAACUAUGAGAAAUAACAUAGCCCACUGCUGACUCUAUGAACAUUUAUCGUUAUCAUUAUUAGUCCACUUAUAUAGUAGUUAGCUCAUAAAUAGUUUCUAUUUCUCUUUUCUCUCCACUAUUCUAGAAAAAAAAAUUAUUUUCAAUUUUUACUGUACUUCUCUGAAGUGUAAAGCAUGUGGGCCGUACUCCGAUAUGGGUCCAUGUAAGUUUAUUAUUAUUGGAUUAAAAGGAGAAAGUUGAUAUUUAAGUUUUAUAAUAUUAUUAUUUUAUUAUGUGAUCUAUGUAUUUUAAAUAUAAAAUGUUAGCUAUUUCGUAGCAACUUAUGAGUAUGCUACCUAGUUGGAUUAAAAGGAGAAAGUUCAAUUAGGGAUUGUAGAUGCAUGCACGUCAAUGUUGAGGGGCCGUGUGGUUCAGCUUUUACCAGUUUGUAGCAGUACUGUAGCACAGCGGAUUCAGAGUUUGGUAGAACUAGAAAUUGUGGCUCUCAUUUUUCACUUUGGAAACCAAAAUAUUGGGAGGAGGAGCCGACCUGAAAUGAGGACGUCCAUCUGUGCACUGAACCACACAUGCCCAGCCCAGACAACUAUAAAUGGAAACGCAAAAAGGGACUGAACACAAGACCGCUUCAGGCCUUGUUUAGUUCCCAAAAAAUUUUGUAAAAUUUUUCAGAUUCCCCGUCACAUCGAAUCUUUAGACGCAUGCAUGGAGUAUUAAAUAUAGAUGAAAAUAAAAACUAAUUGCACAGUUUGGUCGAAAUUGACGAGACGAAUCUUUUGAGCCUAGUUAGUCCAUGAUUGGAUAAUUUUUGUCAAAUACAAACGAAAGUGCUACAGUGUCGAUUUUGCAAAAUUUUUUGGAACUAAACAAGGCCUCAACAAAGAUGGACAAAAACAAAACCUCCGGCCUUGCUAGAUUUGGGCAGAUAACAUGCGCCGUUGCCAUAUUUGGAUAGCUCUCUGCAUCAAAAAUUUGCCCCAAACGAAACAACCGUAGCACUCCAAUUCAUUACGUCAGUACGAGAAACAGUGAAAAGAUCACAUACCAUAUAUAGAAAGCACUCAUAACAUGGACACAGCAUCAAGCCCAGAGGGCCAAUACAACAAAGCUCUCUCUAGCCAGUACCACAUAGUUACUGUACACUUGACAUUGGCACCAAGAAAUCCAACAGAACAGAUCAUCCAAUCCAACCCUACCGACCUACUCCUACAUUGCAAGCCGUACGUCCAGCUAGCCAUUGUUCCUGGUCCAUGAAAGCAAUCAGUGCUAGCUCCUGGUGGCCUCCAGUGAUCUCCGGGGGCAUGAGCCCGAGCAGAGAGGUGUUGUUGGUGUCGAUGGCAGAAGCAUCUGCGUCUGCGUACGAACCAACCAUCUCUCGACAGCGGUGUGGGUGACUAUCACUGGAUGCGGAAGGGGUCCAGGCGGUUGUCUCCGAGGCGCGAUCGGUAGGCAGCCUUCUUGUAGUCGCCCCAUGUGAAGUCCCUGUACAAGCUCUGCUCGCCGUGCCCCAGCACCUGCGGCAAUGGCGCGAUCCGCUGCGCCGGCGCCGGUCCCGCGAAGUAGAUCAUGGACACCCGCGGCUUCAGGCUGUUGGCCACCACCCGGUGCCGCACACUUUUCAGCCUCCCAUUCGUCAGGACCUAUCGAUCGCAGCACGUACACAUCUGUCAAUUCAUUGCCUGCGCCUGCAUGCUGUCGUCGCCGUCUCGGCGCGGCCGGCGUGCGUGCGUUGCGUACGACGUACGACCCCACCCAUCACCCAUGCAUGCAUGCCCAAAAUGAAUUAAAUGUAACGUAGUACGGGUUGUUAUAUUACCUGCAGCGAGUCGCCGACGAUGACGAAGAAGGCGUCGCGGUCGGGCGGCACGGGCACCCACCGCCCCCCGUCGUCGUGGAGCGCGACCUGCAGGCCGGCCGUGCCGUUGGAGCGCAGCACGGACACCAGCUGCGGGUCCGUGUGCUCGCCGAAGCCGGUGACGCCGCACGAGUCCGGCAGGCGCUGCAGCAGCGGGCACGCCGGGUAGUGGUUGAUCCGGAACACCUGGUCGCUCGCCGCGUCCGUCACCAUGCCGCUCAGCGCGUCCCUCGGCGCCACGCCCAGCCCCUCCGCCACCGCCUCCAGCACCGACGUCGCCAGUCCCCGCACGGCGGCGACGUACUGGUUUACCGCGUCCCUGCACGCACGCACACACGGAGUAUACCUACCCAUCGUUAGAAUAGAACCGCACGCACGCGCCAAGGCAAUAAUAAUAAUGGCUCCACUGACACUAAUUGUCUGAUGUGGGCUGAUUGAUUGAUUGAUUGGUUACCGCACCGCAGCGAGGAUGACGGGACAGGGGAGGCCUUGGACACCGAGGAGGCGCCGUCGAGGGCGAGGAGGAGGUACUCGAGCCACCCCAUGUCGCCAUUGCGGCCGAUGCGCUUGUUCCCGUACCCGAGCGGGUUGGCGGGGCCGCACGCGUCCUUGUCCGCCUGCGGCGACGCGAAGAACCUGACGGCCUCGGCCUCCAGCCGAUCCACGACGCCCGUUGGCACGCCGUGGUUCACCACCUUGAAGAAGCCGAACCGCUCGCACGCGUCCACCACGGCCAGAGCCGCGCCGGGGCUGGACAGGUCGACGGCCGGCACGCCGAAGAAGGACGCCGCGUCCCCGGGCUGCGGGCAUCGAAGCAGGGAGAUUUGGUCGAGCGCCGGCGGUGGCUUCGCGAGGACGACCAUUGCCAAAUGCCAAGAAGCAGAGCAAUGUACCCCGUAGCUAGCCGGACCGAAGCUCUACCACACUGGUCACUCUCACUGCUCGAGCUCGAGUGCAUGUGGCGAACGAAGGCUUCAUGGCUCGUAUAUAUAUAUAGCUAGGGAGGGAAGGACAGGGCGACUGCAGCAGCGGGGCGGGGCCCCACGCGGUGAUACGAAACGAGCGGGGAGGGAGCGAACGACGUUGGUUAGGGCUGUUCAACGUCGUCCUCGUCCCCCACCUUUUCCUGUCUGGUUUCUUGCAUCGUGUUUCUGAACUUUUUAUCCCUCUCGGGGCCUUCUGAGCGCGGCAGAUCCGGCGAGCUUGAUUCGUGGGUGGCAGUAGCGUGCUACAGCCCCGGGGGGAAGACGCGACGUGUCCCGACGUGAUCCGCCGGUGCAGUGGGGUCGGAGAGCGAAGGUGAUAAGUGUCCGGGUGCUCUCAGAUAAUGUUUCUGUUGAUGGAUUCCUGCAAGGGCCAAGGGUACAAUGACGAGGCGGCCUCCAUCAGUAUAGGAUCAUCAGAGAGCUUUCUGAAUGAGCGAGCAGUGUGCAUGCAGUGGUUUGGGCACUCUAAUUAAUGAUUGCCGCGCUUCACAAUUCACAUAAGCUCGGCCCUUAAUUGCUGAAGAAAGUCUUACUUAAGACUUAUCCACCACUCUACAACUGUAUACUUAACUUUGUUCGAUUAUCCAAAAUAAUAACUUAUCUUACUCUCCUACGAGACGUUGCUCCUUUUCUUUUUUGCAGAUUAUUAAUUAUUAUAAGAACAAAAAGCUAGAGGAUCAGAGAGGAGAAACAAGAAUGGAGAGCUUUGAAGAUUUACCGUCUUUUUUCUCCUCUUCGUGCUAUGACAUUGAAGAUUAUUUAGCCCUGUAAGGGGUUUUUUCUUACGCUACCGCCUCCUCCAAAGACCACUGCCAUAGGCUUCUUCAGCAUCACUACUAUGGAUCCCCUCAUCCUCCUCGUGCAGCGAUCUCGUCGGCGGUGAGAAGGACCAGGACUCUCUGACAUCCAGUCUAAUUGAAUUAGUUAGGGUUUGGAUUGAAUAAAUUAUAUCUCAUAGAUUUUCACAUGGUAUUUUCUUCGUUGAUUUCUUGUCAGAUCUUGUUUCUUGUAGAGGACUCCAUGUUUAGACAUUCAACGUGACAUUCUUCAUGUUGUUUUUAUUUUUACAGAGUUGAUGCGGUUGUUGGCAAUUGCCAUGUUUCCCAUUUACAUCUUUGUGUUACAACCUCACUAAGGUAUGAUCUCUUGAUAGACAGGAAGUUAUUCGAACUUCCACAUUUGUCAUGAUUGGUAUUAGUGGUGCUAGAUUGAUGGUCACUUGAUCAUAUUUGAUGACAAGGUGGUUCAUGCUCUUUAAAUAGUAAUAACGGAACUAGGAGUUCUUUGACCCAAGGAAGCAAACAGGGGGAGGGGAUGAAUUGGGUCUUUGAAAACCUAAACAUAUAGGACUUUCUUGAUCUAUAUUUUUUUAAAAAAUCAUAAACUAAAUGUGCACCUCAUGUUUUUCUAUGUGUUCUACCUACCCAACCCUAAAGAGUUUACAAACUAGAGCCAAAAUAUAUCAAUAGUCUAGGACAACCUAGGAAAGAUAAAGAUCAUACAAGUCAAGCACAAUGUGGUAAGUGAAGAGCAAAUCAGGAGAGGACAAACUCCUAAGGAUGAGAUGUGUCAUGUGGUAUUGGUUACCCAAAACACAUCAAGCCUUCCCCCAAUCAUGCUGUUGAGGUCACCACGAAGGCUUGUGCAACCAAGGCAAGUGAUGCAUUCCACCAAGGCUCACCACUAUCGCUUGCCUCUUCUAGCCACCUUGGCGCUAUUGACUACAAAGCUUAUCCACCAUGAAGGUAUCUCCUCAGUCUCUAUACAACAAGGGGCCAUUGCACUUGCCACACACCAAGCUCGAAAGGUCAACAUCACAAGGUUAUCAAGAUUCUUGUUAGAAGGCCAGUAAGACUCCCAGUGCUCUGGCUCAACAAGAUUGUAAGGGCACAACAACCAAAACACUCAAACUCUUUUUAAUGACCAAACUUGGAGCAACAAUAAUGGACUCCCUAACCACCUUCUCAAGAAAGUGCAACACCAACAAUAUGGAUCAUCAUUAGAGAGCAAUCUCAUCUCAUGUGUCUUAUCUAGCUAGGCGGUGAACUACCUCCAUUGUAAUUACCAAUUGGACCUUAGGAGUAGGAAGUUCCUCCAACUAAGAUGUGGCACAAGAAAGUUGGACAAGGAGGUGCCCAAAGGAGUCUUCAUGAUGACAUAGGCAUCUGUCCCAACAUCCGGUAGUUAUUGGCGGCAUUAGAGAAGAAUGUAUGCAAGUAGAGUUGGUAGUGGGUGCGACUAACAGAUGAUCUAUCAUAGAUCAAGAUCUAGGUGAAGUGACUUCUAGCAAGUAGCCAUCCACCUUGGGUUUGGAGAUGACAAGUAGAGAAUCAUGCGACGAGCGUGAUGAUCCAGGGUGUAACAUCGUGUGGAACUUGGAGUUGGAGGUGGUCAUGGACUCAUGGAGCCACUAGUGGUGGGGAGACCUCAGAUUUAUAGCUUGGGGUCCAUCCAAUGAGAAACAAGCUACGCUAGAUGGAACCUCAGCUACAAUAGCAAUUGCAAUAGUAAUGGGAACCAAAGAUUGAAAAAUGGUGCUAGAGAAUGGCAACUUGGGAGCUCCUUAAGGUAAGGGGAGCGGUGGCAGUGACCAAUCAAGUAUUGCAAAAGCAAAUAGUGGCAGGCUAGCUUUAGUGACAAAGAGGCAAGAGAGUAUGUUGUUGGUAGAGAAAAUCCUAGGCAGAUUGUCUUGCGCUUCGCCUAUUAGGACCUCACCCAUCCCAAAUUGAGCAGCUUCAAUGAUUAGAUUCUGAGGUCCAUGUAAUGUUGUUUGGUGUGGAUGCGGAUGUGAAAACACCUGAAAGAUUCAACAUCUGUAGUUGUUUUAGUGUCAAUAUGGAUAUCCAUAUCCGCAUUUGAUUUUAAUAUAGAUAAAAUGUGGAUGUAUUCAUAUUAUUUUUUAUGAUUUUUCUCUAUCUGGACAUUCGUAUUUGAAAAAUGUAAAAUAUCUAAUAUCAAGGCCGGCUAAAACUUAAAUCUAUGACUAGUUAGUAAUGUAAAUGAUAUCAACUUUAAUAUAACAAAUGACCACUAAAAACUUAUCUAUGUGGUUAAUAACAUUAUAUAUUUUGUUAUUGUUAAUGACAUAUAAAGGCUUGUUUAAUAUGGUUAAUCAUAUUAACUUUAAGUACUUUAGCAAUUCAUGUAUUGCUGAAACUAUUUAUAUAUAUAUAUAUUUUAAACUAUUUAUUGAUAAAUAUUAUUUAUAGUUUUAUUGAUUUUGAUAUAUUUAUCUAUUAAAAUAUAUUUAUUACAUAUGUUGGUUUUUAUGAUUUGUGGUUAUCCACAUGUGUUAUAUAAUCAUAUUAUUCUCUACAUGCGUAAUGAUUUUAUUUUAAUAAAAUUGUCAACAAGUAAAUAUAUAUGUGUUGUUAUCAAAAUCUAGUAGAUAUCCAAAUGCAAAUCUGAGAUAUUCGUUUUACAUUCAUAUCCAAUAAUACCAUAUUUGUAUCUGAAUUUGAAUUAAAAUAUGUUAAAUACUCCUUUACAACUUUGAUUCCAUACGGAGCCAGUCUGAUCCAUCCUUAAAUCUCGUUGUAGAGGAUCUGGCAGGCGAGCGUCAAUGGAACCUAAGACACCGUUCAAGUUAAAAAUGAGUUGUUCAGGAUACUAUUUAUUAGAAGUCAUAAUCUUCCAAGUUUGAGGACUGUUUCGUCAAUUUGAAAGUUUAUUAAGCCCUCAAUCUUAAAUUUCUCUGUGCUCUUUCUUCCUCAAAGAUAGAUUUCGCCAAGUGGCUACACACACGGGGUAACGUUCUUUUCUUUUUUUUUUGGAAGAAAGAGGCUAAAGAUUGUUGACAAGUCAUGCUACUAAGGGUAGAGCUUGAAAAACUGGCCAACGCUAAUAUAAAGUUGUUAGUGUCAACUCAAAAUCAUAUAGUUACAGUAUACUGGCAGUAACGUCUGAGAUGACGUUGUUUCACCAAUCAAAGCAACAACAAAAUGACAAAUUUGUCGGCCAACUAAACGACCAAUCGGGUACGAUCGGCUAUACCUUUCAAAUUAAACUUGAGUAUGGUGCACACAUCAAUCAGAUUUACAAGUGCUUUAGGGCACUCACAAUGCAGACUUUAUUAUGGAGUCUAAAGUUAUUUAUUACCUCGAAUAAUGUGGACUUGGAGUCUAAAUAAGACUUGGAGUCUUAUUUUUUCUACCUCUUUCUUCAAUAAAUAUGCUGCCACAUCAGCAAAAUACCAUAAAUAAUAUGUAAUUAAUUGUCUUAGACUCUGUGAUAGAGUCUUGCAUUGGGAGUGCCCUUAGGCCAGUCUCAGUGGCCCGUUUCAGUGCACUGUUUUGAAAAUAAAUCCGCUGACAGAGUAUUAAUGAAACGAAUAAUGAAACAACCUCCACAAUGCAUGAGUUUCACCUUGACGUUUCCUAGGCUGGGCAAAACAUUUAAUUAUUGUAAAAUGAUUUGAUCACAUGCAAGAUGGUGAAACAAUUUAGCCCUCAGUGAGGAUUUCAUCCCGUUUCACCGCGUGGGAAACAACGCCAGCGGGGUUUCACCAUGGUGAAACUACUUCCUUCUCUCUCCUCUUCGUUUCAUGCAAAAAGUGUAAUUUUGCUGACAUGACACUCUAAUAAAUAUGCAUGACAUCCUGGUGAAACCUCCACUAAGACUGGCCUUAGAACAUCCAACGAGACAAGUUACGCUGCAUGUUUUUACCCAUUUCUUUGCUAAUAACUAUAUUAAUAUAUAACAUAUUACUAUAAAAUUUAUUAAAUUAUAGUUGGCCUAUAGUACAAGUGGUUAUCUAGAUUAAAAAUUUCGAAGUUAGAGCAUCUUCAUCCAAUUGAGUAAAACUAAUCCCCUUUCCUUAAAACCAGCAACAAAGGAUAUUGAAACAAAAAAAAUGAUCCAUCAUAUCUCUUUUCAAUCCUUUUUUUUCCUCAAUCUCCCACGUUCCCAACUCAAACCCUCAAAUGAAGGGGAACAACCACCGGUUUUCGUCAACCCCUUUCUUUCUCCUCAUCUUACUGACAUUGCAGGUUCUCUGCAUUGCCACCGCAAGCACGCAGGUCACCGCGGCGCCAUCGUGCCAGGCGGAUGAGCACGCGUGCCAACCAUGCUAAUCGAGCUUGGGGGUGUUGUGAUACCUUGUCGGGCGAGCUUGGGGUGAUGCCACCACUCAGGGUGGACAAGUGCUUUGGCUGACCGCUGUUGUCGUGCCGACGAGUGAUUGAGUGCGCGAGCAACCGUACUUUUGUUGUCCGUGCACCGGCAAGGAGGGAGGAAGAGGAAAGAGAAUAGAGGAGAGGAAUUGGAGGAGUUACCACAGACAUAUAGAGGAGAGGAAUUGCGAGUGUUGAAAGAGUUUUUUCUAUCAUGAAUUAUGUGAAGAACAAAUUGAGAAAUAAGAUUGGGGAUCAAUACUUGAAUGAUUGCUUGGUUACAUUUAUUGAGCGGGAGUUCUUUCUACAAGUUAAGGACAAGGACAUCAUCAACCGCUUCCAAACCAUGAAGAGUCGCAGGAUUAAAGCAACAUUAUAAUUUUUUGUAAGUUUUUUUAUUAGUUAUCAGUUUGAUUCAUGCAUAAUUUAGUGUUGAUUCGCUGAACAAUUUAUUAUUAGAUUGUUCUUGUGACUUCAGUUCGAUGGGAAUACCAAGUUUUGGUUCUAGGCUCCGCCACUACAUAUAGGUGGUCUCACAUAAAUAAAGAGGAUGCAUCUUCUCAUCCUGCUGCAUGCUGCAGAAGCUCUCCCCUAUAACCUAUAAAUCAGUUUUCUUAAUGCCCUUAUAGAUGAUUUUUAAGGGAAACAUGAGCUGGUGGAGAUGCUCUUAGGUCAGCUCUAAUGGUGACUUAUGACUUAUGAUUAAGAGCUAGUCUUCACACGUUUUAAGAGUGAGGAAGUUAUGUGAGACUAUUCAUGUUGCGAGUUAUUACUCCGUAUGUGAUAAAAGUUAGUAUCUUUGGAGAAGUUGCAUUACUGGCUCAUUUUAUUAUCGAUGAUGCCAUUAUACUCCUGUAGUACACGAUAAUCUAUGGCUAAUAGUAACAGGAGUACGUUAAGAACUCUUGUUUUGUUGGUGUUUUGCACGUGAAUGCGAUCUGCCGGGCAACUCCCAUUUGGGGAACCCGGGGAAGUGUUGGUGGACUAGUGGUGCUCUGCACAAAAAGUUCUCGCGCGUUCUGAGAAAUAAUUCCGCGCGCGUGCGUCCGUCGAGCGCUGGUCCAUCCCGACUUCCCGAGGUCGCGGCUUCACCGCACGCACACUCUCUCCCGCCGUCCUUGCCUGCCCUGCCGACUAGGCAGGCGCCACCAUGGCAGAGCACGUUCGCGGGCAGCAGAUCGAUUCUCCUAUUCCAGCACGCGACACACGCGCGGCAACACAGAAAGCGGACGCGCGGUCGAACGCGGCACGCACGGCGGAUAAAGAGAUAAGCCUCGACAACCUGAAGUGAUCUAGCGCUGAUGCGGCCGGGUGCGGGCAGCUCCGGCGGUGGUCGGCAGCUCGAUCGAUCACGAUCAGCAUCGGCGCGCGGCUGCUUUUUCUGUGGGGGCGGGGCGGAGGAGCUAGAGGAGGAGCCGGCAUGGGGCAUCCGGAAUCGCGCGGCCGCCGCCGUCACGCGACGGGAUCGGUAUCCAUGCACUGUGCGGGGAGGCUCGCGUGCGCGGUUGCGUUCGACCGGCGACGUGGCCGCGGGAUCCGUUGCACAAAUGGUAUCGGGACUGUGAGCAAAAGGGGUUCCUGAAUAGCAGAGGAUCGAUGCCCUCCAGCAGUCCAGCGCUCCAGGGAUUGUGCGUAGAAGGGGCACCUCACAGGAUGUCCGAGCCCUACUGCAGUCUGCAGGCCGGUGAAGCGACGGGAUAGCGCGCCAGCGAUAGAUCAUAGAUGUCGGAGCGGUCGGGAAGCAGUUUACGAUCGGGCUGUGAAGAAGGGACAAACUCGAAGUCGGCAGGAGAGUGCUUUCCUGUUCCUGGUGCAUGCUCUCACUCCGGCAAAUCUACCCGGCCCGUCGUUUCGGCAAAUCUACUUGUAGGGGUUAUGAUACCUCGGGUAUAUCAAGACAGUGAUAAGUUAGUCACUCGGGCGACCUAUGGUACACAAGCCUGUAUAAGCCCAAACGACUGAGGCCAAGCUAAGUCAUGUGAACUUAGGCCAAGCACUAAGGUGAGGGCCAACCACGACCUUUCCCCUGCCUUCACUGCAUGUCACACGAUCCCUCAUGACCUCUCCUCCAUUCCGACCCCUAGGAAGAACAAGGAGAGAUCAAGCUUAGCCAAGUGUGCCUGCUCUGACAAGAGUAGGCAGACCACACUGACCUCACAAGGACCAAGGGGACAGUAGUCCCCUCAGCCCGGUUAGACGCCAUCCCUAUGCCACGUAGCACAGACAAGACAACACCGCUAGUGAGGGUGAUCAGUAUGGUGCCCACCAUCCGAAAAUGGCUCGAUGAGAUGGUCACACGGUCCUACCCACUACGAGAUGGGGCUUAUGAUUGUGAACUUGUCCUCCAAGCUAACAUAGGCCAUAGUGCCAAAGCUCGAGAUCAUGGCCAUUGACACCACACAUAGCAAGGCAACCAACGACUAGGGUGGCUACCAACUCCUAUAUGAUGCCCCCGUGAGAACAGGAGGAGAUGAGAAAGGCCACAAUGAAGACCACGUCGCACAGAUGGUUUGCAAGACACCAUCAUGCCUAUAGUGCCACCACAACUGGCAUAGUAGCACCACACCAUGCCAUGCCAUGGACAUAAGACAAUGAUGAUGACCAUGCCCAGACGUGCAUUGCAAGAUGGUGUCACUUGCAAGCCAAGCUAGCUAGGUUCCCUCCCUUAGGCUCACGACCCCUCGGUUAGGAAAACCUCCUUCUUUGUAUGUGACUUGGUUCCAAUUAGCAUUUCUUGGGUAUUGAAUACAAUUAGAGGGUCUCGAGUAUUGUGGUGACUUCAAGUGUUGGGCUCAUGGGCAAUGAUGCCCUCUCAAAUUCUGAGAUUCACUCGGGUAACGUAGAGAUGACUGUUGCACAUCAUUAAAUCUUGUUGAAAAUAAGGAUCAAAGUGCAUGGAACCUUGUGCUUUUACUUCAUGAAACACUUUUGGUGACUGCAUCCAUCUUAAAUGCUAACCACCAUCUCCCCCACUACCAUCCUCAGGGUGCUUAUUUAAGCCAAGGGGAGGGAGGCCAAUGAGUCUCUCCUCUCAUCUCCCCUAAAUCCAUUAGCAUUAGACUGAGUGAGGAAGUGGCAACCCUUCUUCAUGCGCCAUGAUUCACGAUGCCUCUCAACGGUUUCAUUGUCGUUGGGAGAAGGCUUUCAAGAUUGGAUUCUACAGCGUCCUGCUCAUGGUCAUUUAUCUUGGGUGUUAGAGGAAGUCCCACGAAGAUGAGGAGGAACAACAUUCAUGAUUGUAUCAGGAGAAAGAAGAACUGGAGUACGUAUAAGACCUUAGAAAACAUCUACCACAAUGCCUAACUCAGGCGAUUACAAAUGGGAGCUAGACCAGGUUUAGAGAACAACAGUAUCUGACAAAAAUCGAUAAAACAAAUGUCGGCCUAAGUACCAAAACAUGAAUGCACUGUAAGAAACAUAGCAAGCUCUCAGCACAUAGGAACUUCAACGAUUGCGAAAUGCAAAAUCCAGCCACCAUCCCUUCUUAGUCCUCCUAACUAUCCUUCUCCUCUUCUAUCAUCAGGCGUUUGACGCUUCUUGGAUUUCAUCUUGUCCAACAUCUUCAUGAUGAUUUCCAGCAUUUUGUUGACCCUAGCAAUUAAGACCUCCUUAUCAUUCUCUAGAAAGAGUCAUGUCCAAUAACUCAUGAGCGAACAUACAUAAGAGAUAAUAGUAAUGGGGCUAGUUAUAACAUGCCCUUCAAAGCACACUAUGUUUCCUCUUUUUCAAAUUGCCAAGCAAACUGCGGCAAUCCACACAGCAUGACAUGUAUCACUUACAAGCAGGCAAUCAUUUGUUACACCAAUCCCAAUACUUCUUUUUGUGAUCAAAAGUUAAUUGAAUCUUAAGAAAUAUCCUUACAAGAGAGUGAGACAACCCACUCUGGAAACAAGCAAAAGAACACUGAGACAUCCUAGACUUAAUGGCAAAUUGUGCCAACUCAUGCGCCAACACAUUCUGGUCCCUACUGAUCUUGAUCACUUUUAGACGGUUCAAUUGAUCACCAACUUCUCGCAUCUCCUCGAUAAUUUGCCACAGCUGUGAACAAUCGCGCCCAUUGCCUGAAGCUUGGACACCACCGACUGACAACCAGACUCAAGGAUCAUCGUUAUUCCAGGCCAUCUAAGUGCCAUGUGGACACCCUUCAAACAUGCUUUAGCUUCAGCUUCUUCUGCAUCCCUACAAUGGAAAAUGAUGCGCCAAACAAUUAGUUGCAACACUCGCUUCUAAUCACAAAUCACCACAGCCACCAUAGUAGCUUUCCCGCCCAAUUAACUGAAAGCGGCAUCAACAUUAAUCUUGAGAUAACCCUGGAAAAGUGGCUUCUAACAUUUUACCCUUAGCGGGCAAGACUUCCUAGUGCCACUAUUCGCCUAAACGGCUAUUUAGACCAUUUAAACACCAUGUAAACGCUACACAAUGGUACGCCGUUUCGGUUUAAUCAUUUGUUUAGCCCGUUUAAUUAGCUGUUUAGCCCGUUGAAUAGACUAUUUAGCUUGGCUAAAUGGCAGGUGACCGACUGUUUACCAUUUAGUGUUCAGAAAAACAUAAAGUGCAAAGUGCCUCCUGUAAUGUCCAGACUAUGCUUCCCCUUCGGAUCCUCAACCUCCCCCAGUUGCCGGAUAUUCAAUAGUGAAUGCAGAUCAAGAGAUUUUGGAAUAUGAACGAGGCUCUGUUAAACCCGAGUAACAGCACCGCUGAUAACCUCGACACCGUUCCAGCUCAAUGGUACAAUUUUCUAAACCAUUAUGGUGUAUAUUGAUUUUAAGAAUAGCACGUUCUAUUUAAUUUCUACUGUAAUCGUGCGUAUUACCUCUGUUAUGAACUUAUGAUUUAUAUUCAGAAUAUAAUCUUGCAAAUACCCUGCCGAAUUUGACUGGGAACAUAAACCUACUAUGAUGUCGUAGUGAUCUAGCAUUGACGGGCUAGCAAACAUAUUUCACGUUAGGCCGAGAGCAAGUGUGCAAGCAAUGCCUGCAGGCCAUUGGAGUCAGAAACUUGAAGCGUCAUCAUGACGGUUUUUUGACGGAACAGGGGUUUCCCCCGUUGUGAACAAGUCCCUAUUAUAAAUCUAUUAUAAAUCUAGGGUCUUGAUUCAAAAAAAUUAACUCUAACCCACCUUCUACUUGGGCUCCCAUUUUCUAUGUCAUCCUAAAUUAUAGUUUCAACUCCUCACAUCUAGAACCCCCUAUCCUACUUGUUUAGGAGGUGGGUUGGAGUUGAGUCUUAAUUUGAGCUCCUACUUUUUUUUAUCAUAGCAUGUAAAUAAAAAUUUAAGAGAUUAAUUUAGGGAUUUGGGUUGGAAUUGCUCUUAGGAAACCACUCUAGUCUUCCGGGCCUGCUUUUUGCUGAAUGAUCCGGAUCUUACGCGGCACGAGUCCAUAGAGCGUCUUGUGCCGGAAAGAGCCCGUGACAUUUUUUCUAGCAUGGUGGCCAGCUCCAUCAGCGCACGUAGUGAAAACCAUAUAGCUUAGCUUGGUACAAUGGUACGCCAGCUGCGUGGCUGCGUGCAUAUCCUGCGGGGUUCUGGAUAAUUUUAACGUUAUUUUUUUGAAUGCGAUUGAUGCGAACGGCGGCACAGUUUUUUUAGAUAAUGGAUAUAAAAUCCGGCCUCUACAUCGGAGGAUGUACACAGCCCAAAACGGCGGCACAGUUGUUGAGUUAGUCUUGGUACUAUACUUAAAACAGAACUUUCUUGGAGCUUUAAUGCUGCUAAGCUUAGAUAUAUAUAACUGAUUCAGCUAUCAUUCUUCUUAGAACCAGCAGGCGAGUUGCAUAUCUCCUUUCAAUUUCAGUAUGAUAGAUUCUGGGCUUAUUCGACUGCCGCUGCAGCUAUACUGACAUUUUUUGGUUUGCUCCUGACCGGAGCUGCCGGGCGCAUGUGGGCUCCCUCGGAUGCCUGGAGUCAAGAUUGGAUGCCUGGCAGGCAUAUCUAUCUGGCAGGCACCAACCAAACAGGCUAAAUUGAUCUCUGCAGCAGGUCGUGGAGCCAAAAUAUGUGUAGUGUAGCCGAUCAGCUUGCAACGUGGCCUGAAAGAGCAAUCGCUCUAGAUUAUAUAUACACCAUAUAUAGAAGGAUUCAUACGGCAAUUAGAAUGGCAAAGAAAAUAUAGAUGGCAACACUUUCUACUAUUAUUCUCUUUGUUUUAAAUUGUAAGUUAUUUUGACUUUUUCCUCGAAUAUACAAAAGAUUUGUGCAUCAUUAUCAUUAACAUACAAGAAGUUUAAACAUACAAAUUAAACGGCUUGCUUUACCCCCCCCCCCCUAGGUGGUCUAGAGUUACAGUAGAAAACCGGAUAGUUUCUAGGUUUAUGUUAAGCUAUGCGGUCUAAGUCGAGCCCUUGCAUCAUCGCUGCUGGUUGCGAGACCCUAGUAUUUGACGUUGGAAGCGUUUGACCCGGUGUUGAAAAACUCCUCUUAGGUCUUCUUUUGUGAUGUGCUUGGUGUUGAAAGCCCUUGGUCAUAUUUAUAUGCUGCAUGAUUACGACUUCACCUCUUUUCGACGCUAACACCAAAGAGAGGCUAUGUUCCACUAGACGUUUGCUUUGCAACGGGAGUACUGACUGGUUAGUGGCUGUCAAUUGCAUGGGAGGCUAUCAUAUGAGAGUUCACCUUGCGAAGCACUCGCUCGGUGAAGCUCUUGAAGCGCUAGGCGGCGGAGGAAUAGUCCUCCUCGGCUCCUCAGUGGUGUAUACUGGUGCACAGAACCAGCGUCAACCAAAGACAAGGCCGGCCUAUAGCCUAGUGGAGGCGCCUCUAGUAGAGUAUCCUGGGCUGAGCCUUACCCUAGCUCUGGCGACAGUGAAGGUGAGUCUGCUGCCCAUUAAGUGGGGCACCGGGGGAUGCUCAUGGCUACCGUCUUCAUCAAGAGAGCGUUUGCACAACAUCCAAAGUUCUUUUGACCAACUAAAGUGGUGCGCUAGACCGAUACCUGCUACCUCUCCGAAAGAGUGCAGGUGCAUGCAUUGGUGGUCUCCAUCGAGACUUCAUCAUGCAGGGAAGCUGCUGCGAGAGCUAGAGGCAGAGGCCCAUGGUCCAGGUGGCAUUGACGCUACUACAGAACAGGCCUUUGGUCACUUGCCCAAAAUGAACAAUAAUCUCGGCCAAAACAGAGUCCGGGACAAAAACAUAUUUAGUCCCGGUUGUUCUCACCAACCGGGACAAAAGCCAAGCCUUUAGUGAGGUGGCGAGCUCUUCCAGCAUCAGGUCGCGAUAUCUCGAUCGACCCGUCUUGCUUUCGGGCUCAUCAAUGGGUUAGGCCCAAAAAAGGUCCUUCUGGGUCUAAACUUGAGGGUCAGUUCGUCGUGGCUAACGCAUGUCACGACUAUGACAAAGACAUCGACUAGGGUUAGAUACAUAUCUUUUGGUAUAAAUCUAGAUAUAUAUUAGGUGUAGAUAUAAAACAAUAAACAUAUAUUUAAAAGCGCUGAUGCGCCCCACCUGCUGAUCAACCAAGUGUACUUCGGCCAUGACUACUACCUUGUGAAUGAUUUACCUUUCGAAACAAAGGGUACAAACUAUGGAGCCUCCUCUGCUACGUGAUGGUUGUCAUCAAAAUUGUCGCGUGCUCGCAAAUUGAAAUUUGUUAUCACAAUCAGCUGGUAGUGGCAACCGGUAUUGAUCCCUUCAAAACUCUGAAAAGUGGCCAAUUUGUCUUCAUUGAGAUUUGAGAUCACAUUCAGCCAUAUAUGCAGCGUUUGACGCCUGAAAGUCUGAAGAUCCACAUCCAUAAAGAUGAGCUGCUUUUUCUCAAGUUCGAGAGCGCGCACUACUGCAGAAGGCUAUGCAUCUCUCGCAUUUGCAAGCACCGCAACUCUUAUCUCUCUGUAUGAAACGCGUGUCAUUUCACACAUAUUUAAGCACAAUUAUUCGUCUGACCUCUCUCUUUCUAUUUUUUACAAUUCAGGGGGCGGUCAAAUGGAACGCAGUGCACGACUACAAGCUCAAGUUGUGAUUUUUGUGAUUUGUGAAUCCCGGCCGGAUAACACUUAAUAGCACCAAGUGAUGAAUCUUCAGAAGAUAGCUCUCACACGACUGAAAAGACACGCACUGAGACUCACAUUGGACGUUAGUUCAAACCAAAAAAAAAAGACACAUUGGACUGAUCCAAUCGGGUGGAUCACAGGAACAUUUAACCUAAAAAGGUUGUGCCCAGUGACUAGGUUAGCUUAUCCGAGCAUCAUCGAUCUUUGAUUAGACCUGCAUGACCUACCGAGGGGUUAUUAAGUGGUUAAAGACGGUGCAAAUUAAUAAAACUUUUCGAGAGGCCUUUCAAUUCGUUGCUUGGGUAACCGCGUUGUAGGUAAUAUAGGUGCUUUGUUUAGAGCAUCUCCAGCACUACUAUCUAAAACACACUAUCUAUUUUUCUAUUUGGAUAACCACCUAUUUUCAUACUACCUAUAUUUUGCUCCCAACUCCAACAACACUACCUAAAUCAGACUACCCAGAUUAAUCCUAACGAGAAUGAUGUGUGGAUCCCAUAUGUCAUCCUCUUCCUUGUCUCUUUGUCAUAGACAUACUCGGCCAUGGCAGGGAGGGGGAGGGGCGCAUUGGACGGAGUCGCAUAGCAUUGCCGCGGCCAUGGCGGGGAGACACGCUUGUGGGGGAGGGGCGCAUUGGAUGGGGAGGGCCGCCAGAGUCGCACGGGAACCUCACGGCCAUGGCAGGACGGGCGCCGUCAUGCAUCUAUACGGGGGUAGCAAGCCACGCCAGGGCAGCGGAACAUGGGGAUGUUGCGCCGUCGUGUGUCCGCGGGGGCAGCAGGCUGCGUCGGGGCAGGGAAAGGCGGGGAUGCCAGGCGGCUCGCCGAGAUGGUGGUGUGAGGGCUCACCGGAGAUAGGAGGGGAUGGUGGGGGAGGUCCAAGGAAGAUGCAGCACGUCGGUGGUGGCCGGAUUCGGCGAUGGCUCCCUGGGGAGGACCGGCGGCGGCACCCCAGAGGCGCUCCUUGUACUGGCGUCGUGUGGCCUCGGGUGCUUUCGAGUAUCUGCAGGAUGAAAAAGACAAAGGGAAUUUUAGGUAGUGGAAGGAGAAAUUUAUUGAGCCAAUAAAAAUAGAUAGUCUAAUAGGUAGCUUAUUGGAGACGUUUUUUUACUUCCACUACCAAAAUUUAGGAUAGAUAGCGAGGUUAGGUAGCUGGAGAUGCUCUUAGCGAGUAAGGUUUAAGGAUUCUUCUAUCUACCUAGCUUAGAUGCAUGUCUCCGUAGUGGAUAGGGGAUGCGGAGUAGAGGCUACUAGUUUCCUGAAUAUCUCGUUAUAUGGUCCAAGUCGCAUAGUACGUAGUGUACAAUAUGUCUGUUUUUUUAAGAUCCAGAACAUAGCCGAUAUAUAUUAUAUUAAUAAGGCAGUGAGAGAAUUACAUGCGUAAUAAGCAACGUAAACAGCUUCCUAGGUUUGACACACUGUCAAUCUUGAUGAAAAGAACUAAACGAAUUACUUACAUUUUCGGGGUACAACAAGAGACCAUAACAACUUGACCUCCAAAAACAACCUAUCUGCUGCUUUCUAACUCACCAAACUAACUAUACCAACUAUUUUCUUCCGACACCUAGAACUCACUGACCCAACUAACACAUGUGCAACCCAUUGGAAAAACAACAUGAUUCCGAACUGAAACACACCAAAUCUGCUCAAUUGGGGGACUUAGAUUAUAGCCAUCCCAACAAACCAACUACUUCUAAAACACAGCAUAUAUACAGGUGGGACCUAAUUUGCCUGAUGUGGCACUGACUGCUCCUCGAAUAAUCGUACAAUGCCUGAGCAGCAUCAUGGGACCUCCAUCUCGCCCACCCCCAACUCUGCUGCCAUUGCAGCUAGGGCCUUGGAGAGCUUCUUGUUGCCCAUCUUCGUCACAACCCUUAUUGCCUUGAUCGCCUGCUCAGGAGGUCCUGUCCAAAAAUGUCAACGAACUCCAAGACUACUUGUAUUCGGCACGCUCAUGCAUAUAUAAGCUUGCAUUGGGCGUGCUGUGCCACCGACACAGGGCGGGAUCGACCAAACGGAGGCUGGAGUGGGUGGGAGCUAGUGUCCUGCGUCCAUUCUGAAUCAGUGGUCCAACUUGCAAAGCGACUAGUUGGCAUAUACUACUAUAGUACUCCUUCCGUUCCAAAUUAUAAGUUAUUCUAAAAAUCUUGAAGAGUCAAAGUAUUUUUAAGUUUAACCAAAAAUAUAGAGAAAAAUAUAAAAAUUUAUGUCAUAAAAUAGGUACACUAUGAAAAUAUAACUAACAAAGAAUCUAAUGAUACUUGGUUGGUACCAAAAAUAUUAUUAUUUUGCUAUAUAAAUUUGGUCAAACUUAAAAAACUUUGACUCUCCAAGAUUCUUAAAAUGACUUAUAAUUUGGGACGGAGGGAGUACUAAGUUUUCGGAUUUAAUAAGACUUUGCUCAUUAUUUUUUAAAUUAAAUUAUACAAAUUAACAAAUAUCAAGAUCUAUAAAUAAAUAAUGCUAAAUGUUUAAUCUCGCAUGUAAUACGUGUGAGUCUUAGGAGUCAAAUCUCACAUAUAUAGCUAUAAAUAAAGGGUAAUAUCAAAAGACAAUGCAUAAAUUAUAUAACGUACUUAGUAUAAAAGAGAUAACCUUUGAUAGCAAACAACAGAUAGACAACUUCAAACUUCGAGUAUUAACUUCACUCUACGGGAUCGACUGGUUGAUCACAAGCCUAAACUCCUCUUGAGGUGUGGGGGAAAAUAGCAAGAGUGAGUCCAUGUCGAACUCCACGAGUAUAGCAACUAGAUUGUAUAGAUCCCACAAUCUCAUGAUCAAUGUGACAAAUAAUGUAAAGCAUUAAACAAUAAGUAAUGAGUAUCUUAACACAACAAGAAUCAUCACCCUUAAUGUAAGAAUCCCCAAGGCCGCUCCUGACCGUGAGCUCGACUAGUAUACUAGUUUUAACACUCUGCAGAGGUUGUACAUCUUUACCCAUGAGUCAUGAUUUACCCUUUCGCCCGAGAGAGCUAAUCUCUUAACCCCCUUCCUAGGGAGGUCGGCACGAAUCACUAUGAAGCCUUUCAAAAGUUCGUCCAACAUGUUAGGGCCACAAGGUUUCCCGGGCGCGCAGAUAUAGUUACCCUUCCAAAUGGCACAAUGACGCGCAACCUAUACACAUAGGGACAGAGGCUCGCACUAUACCCGUGUCGGUUAAGCCCCUCUAGCGUCCUUUCGGGUAACCUCUAAUAAGCUAGAAAAGGUCUUCAUACUGAGCUAAAGCCAGAGCUAUUGUAGCCCUCAUGGUUGCACUGUUGUCCCGGUUAUCACUUACAGAUCAAUCAUCAAGUGGAUAAAAAGCCAUUUUUAUCGUUUGUUGCUUAAACAUUAAUCAAGUCACAAGAUCAUGGUCAUAGAAAUAAAACCCAAAAGCUAUACUUGCCUUAAUCCAAUUGCUCUUGCUUAUCCUUUUGGUUUUGUUGGUCUUACUUGUUGCCAAAGCUCUGAUCUUGAUCACCAAAAACUCCUCUCCGACUAAACUCGAUCAUCGAUCAUCAAUACACAAACAACCGGAGACAAAUAUACACGAAGCAAACAAGGCUACAAUUAGAACAGUACACCAAUCAUAUAAAAACAGUAUGAAAAGUUUAUAAAAUGAUUCUACGCAUCGCUACGAUCACACGAACGUAAAGAUCAUGAAAAUCAGAGUUAAAACAAAGAAGAUAUGGAUUUUCUAAGAUUUUCUAUAGAGAAAUAAUUAAUUAAUUAGGGUCACAAAAUUAAAAAGUUUCAAACUGAGUAAAUAAUUUUACUAACAUGUAGAGCUCAUUAAUACGAAUCCAAAGCAAUUUGAAUGGGUCAAAAUGGAAUUAAAAUGAGUAUUUUAUGGGUAAAACAAACUCAGUGGCAAUUUUGUAAAUACAGAAAACAUAUUUUAAUUCAAACCGACAGACUUUAUGUUUUAAUAAAGAGAAAGCGUAUUUACUAAAACGUGCUUUGGACCGCGGGUUCCAUUUGGAAAAACUUCAAGGGCUCUUUAGAAAAAUCUACCCCCGAAGGGGUAUCUUUCUUUCCUGUCCCUUGAUCUCGGAUCCGACGGCUGAGAAACGUUUCACGGAGAGGGAGAGAGAGUGCCGGCCGACCACAGUAACUCCGUUCGGUGGCGCCAUGGCCGGGAGUGUUGGAGCUCGCGGGAGUCCGUGGUUAAAACGAUUUAGCGCAUCAUUCAACGAACCGAGGACAUGGGGACGAAGACAAGAAGAUCGCGAGCUCACCCGAGCACUUUCCACGAUCGGGGAGCGCUCAGAGUGGUCCGGUGAUGGGAGAUGGCGGCAACGAGCUUCUGCAAAUGUUCGGCGACGGUUAGCAUGACACAGAACGCGAGAGAGAAAGGAAGGAAGGGUUCGGUGGCUUCGCAGACCUUGAACGAAGCUUGGCAAGGGCUAGGACUCGCCCGAACGGCUGCAAAACGCGAUUUCCUCGGCCACGGUUGAGUUGAGCCCGACGGCGAGAUCCAGAUCAAGAACAUCGGCGUUAUAGAUGGCUUUGCAUCGUGUGCAGGGGAAAAGGGGGGCGCACAGAAGAGCCUGAGGCUUUAUAGGGGCUUGGUUUGGCUAUUAGGGAAAAGAAAUCCUGAGAAUCCGCGACCGGCUGCCUCCUGGAAGUGUCCCGGUCGGCCAUGGUGAGGAAGAAAGGUAGGAGAGAGAGGAGACCGACGUGUGAGUCUAGGUGGUCAGUGAGAGAGACCGAGGCCGACUCGUCAUACACAGAGAAAGAGAGAGGGCGCGGGGGGGGGGGGGGGGGGGAGAACUGGGCCGCGCCCUGGGCUGAAACGAGGGGGAGGCGCGCUGGCCCGAGGGGGCGCUGAGUCUGCGGGGAGGAGAACAGGCUGCGGCGGGGGGGGGGGGGGGGGGACUAGGCCUUCAGGCCAAGAGGGAGAGAAGGGGGAGGUUUUGUUUCUUCUUUUUUUUUCUUUUGAUGAAAACAUAUUUCAAAUCCAUUUUAAAAUCUAUUUGAAAUAUUUUCAAACUUUGGUCAAAAUCACUCAUCUCAAAAAUAAAAUGCACCAGCAUGAUUUACACACAAUUGUUGCUAAGCCUUAUGAUAAAUUUUAUUUUAAAGAAAAAUAUUAUUUUUCCUACGUUCCAUGAGCACAAAAAUAAAAAAUUAAAUUAUUUUUCAUCUAUUUCCAAAAGAGAAAAAUUUAGGGUGUUACAUCGCAUAAGAAAUGGAUGGCCAUUUUGGUCUUCAUUAUUGUGAGGUUGAGAAAUGCACAAGCUAUAGGAACGCUCUGAACUAAGAUAUAUAUACGGAGUAUGUCUUCAUUAUUCUAAUUUAACCCUUUUUCAUCAAACUCAUAUUUAUACUUCUACACGCUAAAGAAUUAUCUUUAGACCCUGAGCUCGAUGCCAUAGCCUACUGUGUCGAGGUAACAUAUAUGUCAUGGUGCCAUUUGUCAUGGCGUCAAGGUUGGAGAUCAGGGCUGUCGUGGCUGGUGACAUGGCGCUGAUGUAGCCUGAACCGCGGCACAUAGCGCUAAGUUCUCAUGACCUAAACAACAUAAAAUCUUACCAUGCAUGAAUUGAAAGGGAGCGUAUGCUACGGAAACCAGCUUCGUAUGCAAACUAUGCAAACUCUCAUCAGGAGCGUAGGAUGAUCAUCCGAUGGUUAGAGGCAAUUGUGGGAUAUUUUUCACUUAAACCCCCCACUCAUUCUAUCCUAAUUAAUUCUUUUGCAAAUCAACUCCCUGAAACCCAGCAGAACCCAUGCCGCCGUCACACGCGCGAGGAACACCGUCGCCCCGUCACCUACGCGCGAGGAACGCCGCUCCUGUUCGCCCGGUUCGCAUACACGCCGUCGGCAGCAGUAAUGGCAGCAGCAACACUUCUCAAAAAAAAUGGCAGCAUAAUGGCAGUAGCAAUACGACAAUUCAUCUUAGUACAAAAACAAUUCAUCUCCCGGCCGUCGGAAACCAUCACAAUGAGGGCUUCAAGAUGAUCCAUGACGGCGUCCAGGCAGCAGUGGGCGGAAGCGGCGUUCGUUCACGCUGCCCUGGCUGGCAAGCAGCGCGGCCGACAGGAGGCGGCUGUGGGCUCCGCUGCGAGGGUUCUCUUCUACCCGAUGCUGCUGUACAACGUGGUGCGGGAUCCAGGCCGAGUUCCGGUGGUGGGACAAGAUCGAUCAGGUUCGUUACUGGUUCUUUCUCCUCUCUCCUCUCUAAUAGUCUCGUGAGCGAGAGAUAGGAUUAAGGUUUUGAGUUGAGAAUAUGGUAGGGUCACGGUGUUUCCAUGGGAGGGCUUCUGGGGUUUAAUUUGCAAAAGGAGAGAUUAGGGAGGGAUGAGUGGGAGGAGUUAAUUGCUAAUCUCUAACACAUUAGCUCUAUCCAUCGGAUCUAGAUCUAACGAUUCACGUGCGAGUUUCUAUAGUUUUCACGACAAGCUGGUUUCCGUAGUAUACGCUUCCGAAUUGAAAUGGCUAUUAUUGGUGAGCUACGCGCGCGCUGCAGAUGCUCUCAGAUAAUCCCGCUCGCCCGUGGUCGUGCCAGGCCGGUCGUGCUUUUUGUUGUGCUAGCUUGUGCGGCGGCGGCGGCGGCUAUAGGCCACAGCCACGCACCUUUCCAUGCCGACGGAUGGGCUGAAAAAGGCGCUUCCGAUAUGGCGAUAUGGAUAUGCAUGGAUCGAACGAUGAGGUCAUUCUCUCGGAGAGCAAGAGAUGAUUAUCAUGCAAGGAGUAAUUAACAUCUACCUCUGCCUUAAUUUUGACAGAAUUAUUGAACAUCCAAAUCUCAGUGCUACACAGCCCGUAAGCUAAGCCCAGGGCAAGAAACGCAUAUGCGCCGAGCCGCCAACUCGAGGCGAACUUAUAUAUGGCCGUGGGCGGCGACGAUGAGGACGUGAAAUAAGCCUUGCCUGCUCCUCGUUAUUAUUAUUAAAAUUUAGUGACGCAGACCAUCGACUAAGAAACACAAAAAGCGUACUAAUCCGAAGCAGAUGAUGCCCAUCCACAUCAUCCACACAAGUUUAAGUCGUUUCCACGUAAGCAGGCAAAAGGCGCGCCAUGCAUGCACCUAUCUAGGCACGUACGAGGCCUCUAUAUAAGACCUGUGUUCUGAAUCGUAAAUCUUGCACAGGAACGAUAGCUAGCUAACUCGAGUACACUAGCUUGAGCUGAAAAAUCGAGGCAGAAAUUAAACAUGGCAAGAACCGGCGCGAGGCAACUUCUCUGCGUCGGGCUGCUGCUCACCGCCGUCGUGCUCGUGCAGCACACCUGUUCGGCCCGUCUGCUGCAGCGAGAGGUGCCGGCGGCGGCGGCGGAGGAGGGUUCAGCUGGCGGCCUCCUGCACGCGGCCGCCGUGCAGGUUCACGUGGAUGCCGGCGCGGCGGCGUUUGCCAACGACGACGGCGCGGCGCAAGAUCAGGGAGGUGACGCCGCCGCCGGCAUCGCCGUGCCAUACGAGAAUAAGCGUCUGAGCCCCGGAGGCCCAGAUCCCCAGCAUCACUAACAACGGUAGCCUGAUCAUUAUAUAUCAACGCAAAUCGAUCGUUUCGUUCAGUUCAGUCACCUCACUGAUCCAGCAAGAAUUGAAAGAAAAGUUCAUAGAGUAUGGGCUCGUUUGCAGCUUCUUUUUAUUUUAAAGAUAAAGAAAUAAGAAGAUGUGUCAAAAUCCUCUGGCCUCUACAUUACAGUACGAGUUAUAAUUGCGAGACGUCCCAACGUAUGUAUCCUUGGAUUGUACUGAAUGAUUACUGGUAUGAUAUUACAUUUCCUGUUUAUUUUCCACCGUAUGUAUGUCUGAACAUGGAUAGACCAGUUCACUGUUUUGGGGGGUGGGGGCACUGGUACAGCAGAUCUGCGCUUGCACCAUGCAACUCAUCAAUAACCUUUUAUCGCCAU
rnacentral:lncRNA from 1 species